rnacentral:rRNA from 1 species
UACGUAGGGUGCGAGCGUUGUCCGGAAUUAUUGGGCGUAAAGAGCUUGUAGGCGGUCUGUCGCGUCUGCUGUGAAAAUCCGGGGCUCAACCCCGGACUUGCAGUGGGUACGGGCAGACUAGAGUGUGGUAGGGGAGACUGGAAUUCCUGGUGUAGCGGUGAAAUGCGCAGAUAUCAGGAGGAACACCGAUGGCGAAGGCAGGUCUCUGGGCCACUACUGACACUGAGGAGCGAAAGCGUGGGGAGCGAACAGG